rnacentral:misc_RNA from 1 species
UACGAAUGGGGCAAGCGUUGUUCGGAAUCACUGGGCUUAAAGCGUGCGUAGGCGGUCUGUAAAGUCAGAAGUGAAAGCCCCGGGCUCAACCCGGGAACUGCUUUUGAAACUCACAGACUAGAAGCCGGGAGAGGUUAGCAGAAUUCCGAGUGUAGAGGUGAAAUUCGCAGAUAUUCGGAGGAAUACCAGUGGCGUAGGCGGCUAACUGGACCGGUAUUGACGCUGAGGUACGAAAGCGUGGGGAGCAAACAGG